AACGAACGCUGGCGGCAGGCCUCAAACAUGCAAGUCUAGGGGGUGUAGCAAUACAUCACCGGCGGACGGGUGCGUAACGCGUGGGAAUAUACCUAUCGAUUCGGAACAACUGAGGGAAACUUCAGCUAAUACCGAAUACGUCCUAACGGAGAAAGAUUUAUCGUCGAUAGAUUAGCCCGCGUUCGAUUAGCUAGUUGGUGGGGUAACGGCCCACCAAGGCGACGAUCGAUAGCUGUUCUGAGAGGAAGAUCAGCCACACUGGGACUGAGACACGGCCCAGACUCCUACGGGAGGCAGCAGUUGGGAAUCUUGGACAAUGGGGGGAAACCCUGAUCCAGCCAUGCCGCGUGAGUGAUGAAGGCCUUCGGGUUGGUAAAACUCUUUCGCGCACGACGAUAAUGACGGUAGUGCGAGAAGAAGCUCCGGCUAACUUCGUGCCAGCAGCCGCGGUAAU
rnacentral:rRNA from 1 species